rnacentral:rRNA from 1 species
CCUACGGGAGGCAGCAGUGGGGAAUAUUGCGCAAUGAGCGAAAGCCUGACGCAGCGACGCCGCGUGAGGGAUGAAGGUCUUCGGAUCGUAAACCGCUGUCAGCAGGGAAGAACGGUCACUGUGCUAAUCAGUAGUGAAUUGACGGUACCUGCACAGGAAGCACCGGCUAACUCCGUGCCAGCAGCCGCGGUAAUACGGAGGGUGCGAGCGUUAAUCGGAAUUAUUGGGCGUAAAGCUCUCGUAGGCGGUAUGUUAAGUCAGGUGUGAAAUCCCCGGGCUCAACGUGGGAACUGCUUUUGAUACUGGCAAACUUGAGUGUGUGAGAGGUUAGCGGAAUUCCAGGUGAAGGAGUGAAAUGCGUAGAUAUCUGGAGGAACAUCAGUGGCGAAGGCGGCUAUCUGGCUCAUAACUGACGCUGAGGAGCGAAAGCGUGGGUAGCAAACAGGAUUAGAUACCCGAGUAGUC